rnacentral:lncRNA from 1 species
AAUUGCUUGUGGAUAGAAGUAGCAACCUGUAAAUGUGAGACUGUUCUUGUCAAAACCCUCAGGGUACUCCCCAGGUUAGAGCUUCUCUUGCUUCCUUCCCUCUGAUGCAGAAGAGCUUGUUUUUUCAUCACAGGAAAUCAAGUGAUCACUUGUAUUCCAUAUGGGGCCUCAACAGAAUUCUGUGUUUUUGUAGUCCUGGAAUAACACAGGCUUGAAAUGUUGUUUUUUUUUUUGUCUAAGUGUAGACUUCUGGCUGCUCUGUAUUUGUGAAAAAAGACAAGUGUGGUUGCUCCAGCUGUCUUCCUCUGUGUAAGCAACUCAGGUGGGAAUGGUGGUGUUUAAGUGGACAGGUGCUUAAAAAGGCUUCCAAUGUGCAGGUUAAAAAGAUUUCUGGAAACCUAUGGUCUAUGCACAUGACAAAGAUGAAGAAAAAUGGGAGAAAUAAACAGUGGCAGAAGGAACAUAUAAGAAAAAGAGGUUCUAUUCUUCAUAACUUCAGUAGGAC